AGCAGCCGCGGUAAUUCCAGCUCCAAUAGCGUAUAUUAAAGUUGUUGCAGUUAAAAAGCUCGUAGUUGAAUUUCGGGAUCAAUAUUUCGGUCAUGCCGUUGGUAUGCACUGUUAUCAUUGAUUUCUCACCUUCUAAAGAACCGUAAUGCCAUUAAUUUGGUGUUACGGGGAAUUAGGACUGUUACCUUGAAAAAAUUAGAGUGUUUAAAGCAGGCUCACGCUUGAAUACAUUAGCAUGGAAUAAUGAAAUAGGACAUCCGAUUCUAUUUUGUUGGUUUCUAGGAUCGAUGUAAUGAUUAAUAGGGAUAGUUGGGGGCAUUAGUAUUCAAUUGUCAGAGGUGAAAUUCUUGGAUUUAUUGAAGACUAACUACUGCGAAAGCAUUUGCCAAGGAUGUUUUCAUUAAUCAAGAACGAAAGUUAGGGGAUCGAAGACGAUCAGAUACCGUCGUAGUCUUAACCAUAAACUAUGCCGACUAGGGAUCGGAUGAUGUUAAUUUUUUAAAUGACUCA
rnacentral:rRNA from 1 species